AGAUUGAACGCUGGCGGAAUGCUUUACACAUGCAAGUCGAACGGCAGCACGGGGGGCAACCCUGGUGGCGAGUGGCGAACGGGUGAGUAAUACAUCGGAACGUGCCCAGUCGUGGGGGAUAACGUAGCGAAAGCUACGCUAAUACCGCAUACGAACUCUGGUUGAAAGCGGGGGACUCGCAAGGGCCUCGCGCGAUUGGAGCGGCCGAUGGCAGAUUAGGUAGUUGGUGGGGUAAAGGCCUACCAAGCCGACGAUCUGUAGCUGGUCUGAGAGGACGACCAGCCACACUGGGACUGAGACACGGCCCAGACUCCUACGGGAGGCAGCAGU
rnacentral:rRNA from 1 species